rnacentral:rRNA from 1 species
AUGAUGAUGGAGGUGUUUGCUGAAAUUGGGGCCAAGGAUCCGCAUUUCACAUACAAAAUUCAGGCUGACAAUGAGGGCGGGAUUAACAACCUGAUGUGGGCAAGUGAAAACAGCAAGCUGCAGUACACAUUUUUCAGGGAUGUGAUAACAUUUGACACCAUGUACUGGACUAAUUUGUACGAAAUGAUGUUCAGGCUAUUGUUGGUGUUAAUAGUCAUUUCCAGAGUACCAUCCUGGCAGAGGUGCUUGUUUGUGAUGAGACAACUGAGAGUUCUGAAUGUUUUCUCAGAAUUUCUUAGAGUGAUGGGCGGCGCUCCUCUGAUGACUAUACUUACUGGUAAGUUCUUGCUUUCCUGGUGUGUUUUGCAUACCCUAUUCAGGCUAUGGAGCUGGCUAUCAAAGAGCAUUAUGCCAGACACCACAUGCUGGCGGUGCAAGUGUCACAUGCUCAAGAACGCAAAGUAA